UUAUACAUGCAAGUCGAACGAAGUAGCAAUACUUAGUGGCAGACGGGUGAGUAACAUGUGGGAAUCUUCCCUUUGGUGAGGAAUAACACGAGGAAACUUGUGCUAAUACCUCAUAAGUCUUUACGGAGAAAGCUUUAUGCGCCAAUGGAUGAGCCCGCACUUGAUUAGUUUGUUGGUAGGGUAAUGGCCUACCAAGACUGUGAUCAAUAGCUGAUCUGAGAGGAUGAUCAGCCACAUUGGGACUGAGACACGGCCCAAACUCCUACGGGAGGCAGCAGUAGGGAAUAUUGCACAAUGGAGGAAACUCUGAUGCAGCGAUGCCGCGUGAGUGAAGAAGGCCUUUGGGUUGUAAAGCUCUUUCGUCGGGGAAGAAAAUGACUGUACCCGAAUAAGAAGGUCCGGCUAACUUCGUGCCAGCAGCCGCGGUAAUACGAAGGGACCUAGCGUAGUUCGGAAUUACUGGGCUUAAAGAGUUCGUAGGUGGUUAAAAUAGUUGGUGGUGAAAUCCCAGAGCUUAACUCUGGAACUGCCAUCAAAACUUUUUAGCUAGAGUUUGAUAGAGGAAAGCAGAAUUUCUAGUGUGGAGGUGAAAUUCGUAGAUAUUAGAAAGAAUACCGAUUGCGAAGGCAGCUUUCUGGAUCAUUACUGACACUGAGGAACGAAAGCAUGGGUAGCGAAGAGGAUUAGAUACCCUCGUAGUCCAUGCCGUAAACGAUGUGUGUUAGAUGUUGGAAAUUUAUUUUCAGUGUCGCAGCGAAAGCAUUAAACACACCGCCUGGGGAGUACGACCGCAAGGUUAAAACUCAAAUGAAUUGACGGGGACCCGCACAAGUAGUGGAGCAUGUGGUUUAAUUCGAAGAUACGCGCAGAACCUUACCAACACUUGACAUGUUCGUCGCAACUUUAAGAGAUUAAAGUUUUCGGUUCGGCCGGACGAAACACAGGUGCUGCAUGGCUGUCGUCAGCUCGUGUCGUGAGAUGUUGGGUUAAGUCCCGCAACGAGCGCAACCCUCACUUUUAGUUGCCACCAUUUAGUUGGGCACUCUGAAAGAACUGCCGGUGAUAAGCUGGAGGAAGGUGGGGAUGACGUCAAGUCCUCAUGGCCCUUACGUGUUGGGCUACACACGUGCUACAAUGGUAUCUACAACAGGAAGCAAAACAGCGAUGUUAAGCAAAUCCCGAAAAGAUACCUCAGUUCGGAUUGUACUCUGCAACUCGAGUACAUGAAGCUGGAAUUACUAGUAAUCGCGGAUCAGCGCGCCGCGGUGAAUACGUUCCCGGGUCUUGUACACACCGCCCGUCACACCAUGGGAGUUGGUUCUACCUUAAGGCAAAGCUUAAAACCUUUGACCACGGUAUAGUCAGCGACUGGGGUG
rnacentral:rRNA from 1 species